rnacentral:rRNA from 1 species
AGUGAACGCUGGCGGCGUGCUUAACACAUGCAAGUCGAACGAGAACGGGUUAUAGCUUGCUAUAAUUGUCAGCUAAGUGGCGCACGGGUGAGUAAUGUAUAGGUAAUAUGCCUCUUACUCAGGGAUAACAAUUGGAAACGAUUGCUAAUACCUUAUACUCCUUGUUCACAGAAGUUAAUAAGGGAAAGAUUUAUUGGUAAGAGAUUAGCCUGUAUUGUAUCAGUUAGUUGGUGGGGUAAUGGCUUACCAAGACUAUGACACAUAACUGGUUUGAGAGGAUGAUCAGUCACACUGGAACUGAGACACGGUCCAGACUCCUACGGGAGGCAGCAGUGGGGAAUAUUGCACAAUGGACGAAAGUCUGAUGCAGCAACGCCGCGUGGAGGAUGACACAUUUCGGUGCGUAAACUCCUUUUAUAUGAGAAGAUAAUGACUGUAUUAUAUGAAUAAGCACCGGCUAACUCCGUGCCAGCCGCCGCCGUAAGAC